GAUGAACGCUGGCGGCGUGCCUAAUACAUGCAAGUCGAGCGAACGGACGAGAAGCUUGCUUCUCUGAUGUUAGCGGCGGACGGGUGAGUAACACGUGGAUAACCUACUUAUAAGACUGGGAUAACUUCGGGAAACCGGAGCUAAUACCGGAUAAUAUUUUGAACCGCAUGGUUCAAAAGUGAAAGACGGUCUUGCUGUCACUUAUAGAUGGAUCCGCGCUGCAUUAGCUAGUUGGUAAGGUAACGGCUUACCAAGGCAACGAUGCAUAACCGACCUGAGAGGGUGAUCGGCCACACUGGAACUGAGACACGGUCCAGACUCCUACGGGAGGCAGCAGUAGGGAAUCUUCCGCAAUGGGCGAAAGCCUGACGGAGCAACGCCGCGUGAGUGAUGAAGGUCUUCGGAUCGUAAAACUCUGUUAUUAGGGAAGAACAUAUGUGUAAGUAACUGUGCACAUCUUGACGGUACCUAAUCAGAAAGCCACGGCUAACUACGUG
rnacentral:rRNA from 1 species